AUUCAUAUAGUUUAAUUAUAACACUUCAUUUUCAAUGAAGAGAUGGAGAUUUCUCCUUUGAAUA
rnacentral:tRNA from 1 species